GCUGGAUGGUGGAUCUUGAGGGUUAUAGUCUGGCUGCGCUUGCUGCCUGAGUUUUCUGAUUCUUGGUCUGUAGAGAUGUGAGGAAUCACAGGCCAUGUUCUGCCAGCAUGUUUUCCUCAGUGAGGACUGUGCCUUCUCAAAUGUGGGCUGAGAUAAACCCUUAAAUUGCUUUUGUCAGGGAUUUUGUCACCAAGACGAGUACAGUAACUAAUAUAAGCCACUUUUAUAUAAAAGAAAAGAGUGUUUAUUAGGAUAUUCUGGGGUGGAGGGGGCCAAAGGGACUACAUACACUGUUGGGUUUGCGCAAGAGACAGACAGAAAAUUCAAACAUCACAGAACCUCUGUCAAAGUUCAAACGGAAAGCCAAGUCCUUCUAUGCUUAGGUGGUUGGUCCUCUGAAUCAUAAAGCGCGGUCCAAACAGCAGCGUGAAGAAGUGUGGGCAGCCUGGGGAGAUGUACAGUUGUCUUCAGAUUUGACGCUCAGCAUGGCAAGUGCCCCUUCCUCAAUGUGGAAAACCCUGGAAACAAGAUAUGCCAUCAGUUACACCUGAACAGUAAAAACCCAAAUAAAACCCAAACUCAGAUCAACCACACUUCUCAUGUCUGGAAGCUGC
rnacentral:lncRNA from 1 species